rnacentral:rRNA from 1 species
UCAAAAACAUAGCCCCCCGAAAUUUAUGGGGGGUGCAGCCUGCCCAGUGGAAUAAUUUUCUUAACGGCCGCGGUAUCUUGACCGUGCAAAGGUAGCAUAAUCACUUGUCUCUUAAAUGGGGACCUGUAUGAAUGGCUUUUCAUCCCUUAGCUGUCUCCCUUCUUAGCCACCUAAACUUCUAUUCACGUGAAGAAGCGUGAUUUUUCAAGAUAGACGAGAAGACCCUGUCGAGCUUUAGUUAACGCUAAAACUAACCCUUCCUUUUUAAGGAACAACAUAUUUAGCCUAAGCUUUGGUUGGGGCAACCAUGGAGAACAAAAACCCUCCAGUUUAUUAGGAAGAAAACAAUUCCCCUAAAAACUUAUAAAGAACCAGUUUCUCUGGAAAACGAAAAAAGUUACCGCAGGGAUAACAGCGUUAUCUUCUCUGAGAGCUCUUAUUGACGAGAAGGAUUGCGACCUCGAUGUUGGA